CACAAUGAUCGAUGACAGGGGCUGAAUCAAAAAAGCAGUCUGUGAAGUUUUUCCAACAACCUUGGCGAUACUUCUUUGAUUGAGUAAUUACAGGUCCAGUACUCCACCUUAGUUUCCCAUCGUAACUGUAAGCAAAGAGUCCCGUUCUUUUUAUAGUCACAAGUACACAAAAACUGGUUAUGCUUAUUGAGAGCCCAAUAAUCUCAUUCAUCCCUUCUACACCUGUUUCUGGACCCAAAAACACUUGUGUAGCAUUUUUAGAAAUUCGGGUGUUGGUAGUAUCGACUCUUAGAACUCUGUUCCCUGCAACCAAAUACACCUGCCAGUAGAAAAACAGUCAUAAACCAGUUUUUAUUUGAGGUCCUAUGAAUCAAGAGUUUGAUAGAUGCAUACUAUCUUUCUUGAAGCUCCAAGAACUGGCGUUAUACCAAGAUUGCAUGUGUAAUUCAGAGGUAUCAUCCUGGAAAUGGAGCCGGUGUUAUGGAAAAUCAUCAAGUUCUUUUCCAGACAUGUGUAAAUCUUCUGAUCAUCACCAAUCAAAGGGUUUGAUAGCCUGAGUGAUUUAGUUGGUCGAUCUUUAUCUAAAACACAUCAUAUAAUUGGUAAAACAAAAAGAAAAAGCAUGUAUUGCAAAUGUAAAUUUCGUGAGUACUUUAUCAAUGCUGUAAUCUACAUAUUAUUCUGAUCAAUGCGGAUAUGAAGCUCUUCGAAUUAUACACAAAAGCAUAAGUUUACCACAUCAAAGAACAGCCAAUAGUCGGCCCAAAUUUCAAUUUAGAAUCUAGAUAUGAUCAUAAAAUGCUAACUUGUUUUUUAACAGAGAUCGAAACACCAAGGAUAGCAGAAGACACUAAGAAUUAAUGUAAGAUUACUUUGAUACUGGAAACAAACCUGAUAUAAAGUGUUGAUACGACGGGAGAUUAAGAAAACCAGACUCCGAGGCAGCAGAAACUAAUCGGAAAAUGAACAGUAUAAGAAUACUGAAAACUUCAAGAGUAAGAGACAUGGUUGAGUAAAAAAUCGAGAAGGUUCAAGGGUUUUCAUAGGAGAGUGAAGGUAAUUCAUACUCGAGGAUUUCAAAUGUACGAACGGUUAUUAAACCGUCGCCGGAACAGUGUUCCUGCCGAUCCACCUGGAGGAGUGGACUGUCAACUGUGGAGGCUAAUUCGUCUCGUGGUCAAAAAAAAAACACAACGCAAUGUCUCGAAAUGAGGCCCUCUACGUAAUGACUUUAUUCGGUCAAUAUAUGAUGACAUGAAACUUUUUUGGUUAAAUAUUUUUCACACUAAACCCCGUUGUUAUUACUCGAAUUGGGUUGAAACCUCUGAUGUCCUUUAACAUAAAUAACCUAUGCCAAAAAUCAAUAUAAAAAAAUAUGAAUGCAACCAAAACUGUUCAGCUCUAUUUACUUUCUUUUUCUAUUUCUUUUGAAGUGACAGUGAGUUAUGAUGUUGGUUUGCCAGAGUUUAAGGGCCAAAAAUAGAAGGAUGGUGAAGACGUCGAUGUCACUAAAGAUAGAAAAUAAAUAUAAUUUGCGGAGGAUGAGAGAUGGGAUGGUGACCGGUGAGACUCAAAUUAAAUUUCUCAAAUGUGGUUUCAGGUGUACGGUGAGGAGAUACAGAUAUUUAGGGUCUAUUAAUUUUUUAAAAUAUAUAAAAAAUAAAUAUAUAAAUAAGAAAACUAAUUAAAAAAUAAAUUAAUAAAUGCACAAUAGUCUUUUUAGGUAAGACAGGGACCAAACGUGCAACAAAAAUAAACAGUAGGGACCAUUUGAGUUAAAAAAAAUAAGUUAUGGACCNUCUAUCUGCUACAGUGAUAUACACUUUCCCAUUGUUUCCAGCUGUAACUGUUAAAUUCUUCCCAAAUGAGCUAAGAUUCUGAAUCCACUUAAAAUGUGGACUACGAAUUGACACUGCAUACAGUUCCCCUUGAUUAUUCCACACCUGUAAUUGUAAAAACAUCAGAAUUUAAGAAUUCAAGAGAUAAAAAGGAAAGAAGGAGAAGUUGGAAACUUGACAUACAUAAAUGUUAGCAUCACAAUGAUCGAUGACAGGGGCUGAAUCAAAAAAGCAGUCUGUGAAGUUUUUCCAACAACCUUGGCGAUACUUCUUUGAUUGAGUAAUUACAGGUCCAGUACUCCACCUUAGUUUCCCAUCGUAACUGUAAGCAAAGAGUCCCGUUCUUUUUAUAGUCACAAGUACACAAAAACUGGUUAUGCUUAUUGAGAGCCCAAUAAUCUCAUUCAUCCCUUCUACACCUGUUUCUGGACCCAAAAACACUUGUGUAGCAUUUUUAGAAAUUCGGGUGUUGGUAGUAUCGACUCUUAGAACUCUGUUCCCUGCAACCAAAUACAC
rnacentral:lncRNA from 1 species